AUUCCAGCUCCAAUAGCGUAUAUUAAAGUUGUUGCGGUUAAAAAGCUCGUAGUUGGAGUUCUGCCAGGUGGCGCUCGUCCGCCCAAGUGGUGUGUACAGGGCGUGCAUCUGGCCCUUUCAAGGGGAACGUGUCUGCACUUCAUUGUGUGGUGCGAGAUCCUUGACUUUUACUUUGAGGAAAUAAGAGUGUUCCAAGCAGGCUCUCGUCGUGCAUAGCUCAGCAUGGAAUAAUAGCAUUGGACUUCGUUUCUACGCUGUUGGUUGCAAGAAGCGAGAUAAUGAUGAAUAGGGACAGUUGGGGGUAUUUGUAUUCCAUAGUCAGAGGUGAAAUUCUUGGAUUUACGGAAGACAAACUAAUGCGAAAGCAUCUACCAAGGAUGUUUUCAUUG
rnacentral:rRNA from 1 species